rnacentral:rRNA from 3 species
CACCUGAUCCCAUCCCGAACUCAGUAGUGAAACGAUGCAUCGCCGAUGGUAGUGUGGGGUUUCCCCAUGUGAGAGUAGGUCAUCGUCAAGA